rnacentral:rRNA from 1 species
AGUGAACGCUGGCGGUAGGCCUAACACAUGCAAGUCGAACGGCAGCACAGUAAGAGCUUGCUCUUACGGGUGGCGAGUGGCGGACGGGUGAGGAAUACAUCGGAAUCUACUUUUUCGUGGGGGAUAACGUAGGGAAACUUACGCUACUACCGCAUACGACCUACGGGUGAAAGCAGGGGAUCUUCGGACCUUGCGCGAUUGAAUGAGCCGAUGUCGGAUUAGCUAGUUGGCGGGGUAAAGGCCCACCAAGGCGACGAUCCGUAGCUGGUCUGAGAGGAUGAUCAGCCACACUGAAACUGAGACACGGUCCAGACUCCUACGGGAGGCAGCAGUGGGGAAUAUUGGACAAUGGGCGCAAGCCUGAUCCAGCCAUACCGCGUGGGUGAAGAAGGCCUUCGGGUUGUAAAGCCCUUUUGUUGGGAAAGAAAAGCAGCAGGUUAAUACCCCGCUGUUCUGACGGUACCCAAAGAAUAAGCACCGGCUAACUUCGUG